rnacentral:rRNA from 1 species
UACGUAGGGGGCGAGCGUUGUCCGGAUUUACUGGGCGUAAAGGGCGCGUAGGCGGUCAGCACAAGUCAGUUGUGAAAUCUCCGGGCUUAACUCGGAAAGGUCAACUGAUACUGUGCGACUAGAGUGCAGAAGGGGCAACUGGAAUUCUCGGUGUAGCGGUGAAAUGCGUAGAUAUCGGGAGGAACACCAGUAGCGAAGGCGGCUCGCUGGGCCACACCUGACGCUGAGACGCGAAAGCUAGGGGAGCGAACAGG